GCUGGGCACCAUGGCAGGUGCCUGUAAUCCCAGCAGCUCAGGAGGCUGAGGCAGGAGGAUGGAGAGUUCAAAGCUAGCCUCAGCAAUGGCAAGGUGCCAGGCAACUCAGUGAGACCCUGUCUCUA
rnacentral:sRNA from 1 species